UGACGAGGAAGAGAACAGAGGAGUAGACUGGCAGUUCGAGCCUGGACUUGGAACUGGGAGAAUAAACCCUGAGCACUCUCACGUUGUUGUCUGGUUGUAGGUCCGGGAGAGAUUUAACUGCGGCCUUGACACCAGUCGAUGGAACUCUGGAACCAGAUUUGAUGACUGUGGAGAAGGUCGAUGUAGUCGAUCAAGUGCAUGUGAUGGUUCCUGAGUGUAUCGAUAUCCAUGACGUCACCGUCCCCACCAGUGGUCUCCAAUUGGAACGGACAGUACUAUGGAAGCGGCCGAUGUGUCAUUGUUUAGCUCCCGGCUUCUUGACACUAGUGAAGAUUUUAUAGCAUACCUGGGGAACAAGUCAUCAGGAACUGUAGAACAAGUGCCACAGGACAUCGCGGACAAAUACCUUCGUCCAAGUCAGGAACGGCUGUUUCGUGGUGGAAAGCCCUGUGAACAUCACCUUCUCGUCAUCGGGCGGAAAUUAAUGGCGGUAUUCCCAACCAACCCUGAGGGCUCCCUAUGUAAGCGCUAGCCGUGGGGGAGGAGAAUUUCGUUUCACAAAGCGCCCGUAUCCGAAAGGGGCGCCUAAGGGCGUGCGCCAGCCAAGUGAGCUCGCGAGCUCCCCGUACGCUCCCCGAGGGACGCCCACCUCGAAACAAACCUUGUGCCAGUCUGGUGCCAGUCUUGGAGCUAGGUCAUGGUAAUAGGAGAUUAGUUGGAAGGUUUGAGCACUGUACAUUAUGGUAUGACAUCUCCAGGGUAAACCAGAUUAUUCCUUCCCGGAUCAGGUUAGGAGUAAUUGGGGUUGAACCUGAUUUCUCACUGGAAACCAUGUAUGACGUAGAUUAACAUGUUAUUUGGAGUACUUUGUGA